ACACUUGGUGUCUUUUUUUGAGCUGCCAGUGUCUAUUUUACAUUAUAAUCCUAUGGAGUAAACCAUGUUCUUAAGGUCCUUAGCACUUUUUUAAA